rnacentral:sRNA from 1 species
UCCUGUUUUUAAAGUUUCAGGGGUGUGUCUAAUUCUGCUUGGUGCUGGUUUAUUUAACAGAAGUCUUAGUUUUUGGAUAUUAAUAUUGUGGAAAGUUAACAGAGCUGAUGUCUAGCUGAUCAAACUCAAAGUAAGCUCUUCAGUUUAAAUUUUCGAUGUGGGCAUAAAUCAAGUAAAGGUCUAAUUUUUAAAACUAAUUUCCAGUAUUUUUUCUAAACAGAUUAUGAAGCAAUUGUGAAGCUUUCAGAUGGCUUUAAUGGAGCAGACCUGAGAAAUGUUUGUACUGAAGCAGGUAUGUUCGCAAUUCGUGCUGAUCAUGAUUUUGUAGUACAGGAAGACUUCAUGAAAGCAGUCAGAAAAGUGGCUGAUUCUAAGAAGCUGGAGUCUAAAUUGGACUACAAACCUGUGUAAUUUACUGUAAGAUUUUUGAUGGCUGCAUGACAGAUGUUGGCUUAAUGUAAAAAUAAAGUUAAAAUAAUGUAUGUAUUGGCAAUGAUGUCAUUAAAAGUAUAUGAAUAAAAAUAUGAGUAACAUCAUAAAAAUUAGUAAUUCAACUUUUAAGAUACAGAAGAAAUUUGUAUGUUUGUUAAAGUUGCAUUUAUUGCAG